rnacentral:rRNA from 1 species
GACGAACGCUGGCGGCGUGCUUAACACAUGCAAGUCGAACGGAAAGGCCCUGCUUUUGUGGGUUGCUCGAGUGGCGAACAGAUGGGUAACACGUGAGUAACCUGCCCUUGACUUUGGGGUAACUUCAGGAAACUGGGGCUAAUACCGGAUAGGAGCUCCUGCUGCAUGGUGGGGGUUGGAAAGUUUCGGCGGUUGGGGAUGGACUCGCGGCUUAUCAGCUUGUUGGUGGGGUAGUGGCUUACCAAGGCUUUGACGGGUAGCCGGCCUGAGAGGGUGACCGGCCACAUUGGGACUGAGAUACGGCCCAGACUCCUACGGGAGGCAGCAGUGGGGAAUAUUGCACAAUGGGCGGAAGCCUUAUGCAGCAACGCCGCGUGCUGGAUGACGGCCUUCGGGUUGUAAACCGCUUUCGCCUGUGACGAAGCGUGAGUGACGGUAAUGGGUAAAGAAGCACCGGCUAACUACGUG